GAUAAAAUUUUAAAAAUUAAAUGAGAAUAAUAUAAUAAAAUGCUUAAUCAAACUGACUUAUGACUGUUAACUCGUAAAGUCACAAAUCUACUUCCACUACAUAUAACAACCUCUGCAUCUAAUUAGAAGUAUUGAUUUUUCAUUUUACUUUCUUUAAAGUGAUUUGAUUGGAAUUGAAAAUUGCUAGAACUAAUAAAAUUAGAUGCCCUGCCUUACAAAUUAUGUUCCUUUAGCUACUUCGAACACUUGAACCUUGAGCUCCGUGGUCCUACAAUUAUACUGAAUUUAUUUGAAAUCAACGUCUACUUAAUAAGAUAGAUACUCUCAUAUGUAAAUGUAACCCAAUUAACAUGUCAUUUAAUCAUUUUUUUAAAUUAAAUUGUUAAUCAGUUAAUUAUUUCUUCUAAAUUUUCUUAUUAGAUUGAACACU
rnacentral:misc_RNA from 1 species